GCACCAUGCUUGGUGCUCUGGGCAGCUGUCCGAGUGGCUCUGGUUUAUAGUCGUGCAGUGAUUUGCAGCUUCUGAUGAAAAGGACUAUUUAUGGCAGGCUGGAGCUUAUGAGGCUGAUGGCUGCUAAGUCUGCUUAAGCCUUCAACUGAGAUUGCUGCUUUUUCUUGAGGGAAGAGAAAAACAAAACCAAGCAGCCAUUCCUCUGUUUGGGAAGCGUGUAAGUUGAGCUCCCAUGUUAUAAAACACUGGGAACGGAACCGAAGUUGACUUCCCUGGGAAAAAUGAGAAGCCAGAGGCCCCAUGAGCUCAGUAUUUCUGGGGGGAGGGAAAGGAUGGCAUUACAGAAGAAAGAAGAGAGGGGCAACAUUUCCAUGGUAUGUUUCAAGUAUGCGUAUUUUUUUUCUUUUAAAUGACACUGAACUUACCUUGCCAUUUGGAAAUGUUAACUUUGGAAAGGGCAAUUAGCAUAGGGACAUGUGGAAUGGUUGGGAGUGUGAGGAUUGUGGGGUGGGGAGAAGAGAGAUAAUGGACCAUCAAAACACUUGUGGCUGCCUGGUGUCAACUAUGCCAACCCAGUUUUAAAGAGCAAUAGGGAGGAGGGAGGCUGUCAGGGUCACUGCACAUGUGGGGACACCUUGGGGAGCCCAGGGAGACAUUUUUCAUUUGAUAACCUUCUGAGCAUGUGCAGAGGGAAUGGCAUGGCAGCAGCAGUGUGCCACCAUGAAGGAGAAGCCAGUGUCACCCCUAACACUAUAUCCAGAGACUCCAUGUUGUAGAUUGGGUGUUGGUGACCUCCCAAAAUUCUUAUGUUGCAUCCUCAUGCCUUGAUGGAAGUGGAGCCUUUGGGAGGCAAUUAAGACACAAAAUCCUCAUGAGUCAAAUGCACGC
rnacentral:lncRNA from 1 species